rnacentral:lncRNA from 1 species
GAUCGAUCGACCGUUCGUUCGUUCCUCCUCCUCCGCCGCCGCCGCCGCAGCGUCAGGUGAGGGCUCAGAGAGUAGGUUUGGGUGCGCGCGCUCCGGCCGGGGGCUCCGACGACUCGGGGCCGUGCCGUUGGUAUAUGCAACAGAGGGGCCUCUCCAACAACCGCCGCUCCCGCGGCUUCUCCCGAUCCCGCCUCGCCGUCGAGGGCACCUGAACCUCAACAAACCCCCUCUUCUCUCCCUCUCUCUCUCUCUCUUAACCACUCACGCCCUCUUCCUUCCUUCCUUCCUUCCAAACAAACAAACAGACUCGCAUUCGCAUCCCAUCUCCCUCCUCCUACCGUAAAAACCAAAACAAAACAACCAAACCUUCGACUCGAAAGAAAAGAAAGAAAGAAAGGAACAAGAUGGAGAC